GAUGAACGCUAGCUACAGGCUUAACACAUGCAAGUCGAGGGGCAGCAUGAUUGAAGCUUGCUUCAAUCGAUGGCGACCGGCGCACGGGUGAGUAACACGUAUCCAACCUGCCGCUAACUCGGGGAUAGCCUUUCGAAAGAAAGAUUAAUACUCGUUCGUAUAGUAUUUCUGCAUGGUUUCACUAUUAAAGAACUUCGGUUAUCGAUGCGGAUGCGUUCCAUUAGAUAGUUGGCGGGGUAACGGCCCACCAAGUCAACGAUGGAUAGUGGUUCUGAGAGGAGGGUCCCCCACAUUGGAACUGAGACACGGUCCAAACUCCUGCGGGAGGCAGCAGUGAGGAAUAAUGGUCAGUGGACGAGACUCUGAACCAGCCAAGUAGCGUGAAGGAUGACUGCACUAUGGGUUGUAAACUUCUUUUAUACGGGAAUAAAGUGGAGUAUGCAUCCUCCUUUGUAUGUACCGUAUGAAUAAGGAUCGGCUAACUACGUG
rnacentral:rRNA from 1 species